UACAGAGGGGGCAAGCGUUAUUCGGAAUUAUUGGGCGUAAAGGGCGCGUAGGCGGCUUGGCAAGUGGAUGGUGAAAUCCCUCGGCUUAACCGAGGAACUGCCGUCCAAACUGCUUUGCUUGAGGCCGGGAGAGGUGAGUGGAAUUCCCAGUGUAGCGGUGAAAUGCGUAGAUAUUGGGAGGAACACCAGUGGCGAAGGCGGCUCACUGGACCGGUACUGACGCUGAUGCGCGAAAGCGUGGGUAGCAAACAGG
rnacentral:rRNA from 1 species